rnacentral:rRNA from 1 species
GAUGAACGCUGGCGGCGUGCCUAAUACAUGCAAGUCGAGCGAACAGACGAGGAGCUUGCUCCUCUGACGUUAGCGGCGGACGGGUGAGUAACACGUGGAUAACCUACCUAUAAGACUGGGGUAACUUCGGGAAACCGGAGCUAACACCGGAUAAGAUAGUGAACCGCAUGGUUCAAUAGUGAAAGACGGUUUUGCUGUCACUUAGAGAUGGAUCCGCGCCGGAUUAGCUAGUUGGUAAGGUAACGGCUUACCAAGGCAACGAUGCGUAGCCGACCUGAGAGGGUGAUCGGCCACACUGGAACUGAGACACGGUCCAGACUCCUACGGGAGGCAGCAGUAGGGAAUCUUGCGCAAUGGGCGAAAGCCUGACGCAGCCACGCCGCGUGAGUGAUGAAGGUCUUCGGAUCGUAAAACUCUGUUAUUAGGGAAGAACAACUGUGUAAGUAACUAUGCACGUCUUGACGGUACCUAAUCAGAAAGCCACGGCUAACUACGUG